AUGGAGAACGUAGCGAAAUGCGAUAAGUAGUGUGAAUUGCAGAAUUCAGUGAAUCAUCGAAUCUUUGAACGCACAUUGCGCCCCUUGGUAUUCCAUGGGGCAUGCCUGUUCGAGCGUCAUUUGUACCUUCAAGCUUUGCUUGGUGUUGGGUGUUUGUCUCGCCUUUGCGUGUAGACUCGCCUUAAAAUAAUUGGCAGCCGGCGUAUUGAUUUCGGAGCGCAGUACAUCUCGCGCUUUGCACUCAUAACGACAGCGUCCAAAAGUACAUUUUACACUCUUGACCUCGGAUCAGGUAGGGAUACCCGCUGAACUUAAGCAUAUCAAUAAGCGGAGGA
rnacentral:misc_RNA from 1 species